rnacentral:rRNA from 1 species
AGUGAACGCUGGCGGUAGGCCUAACACAUGCAAGUCGAACGGCAGCACAGUAAGAGCUUGCUCUUACGGGUGGCGAGUGGCGGACGGGUGAGGAAUACAUCGGAAUCUACUUUUUCGUGGGGGAUAACGUAGGGAAACUUACGCUAAUACCGCAUACGACCUACGGGUGAAAGCAGGGGAUCUUCGGACCUUGCGCGAUUGAAUGAGCCGAUGUCGGAUUAGCUAGUUGGCGGGGUAAAGGCCCACCAAGGCGACGAUCCGUAGCUGGUCCGAGAGGAUGAUCAGCCACACUGGAACUGAGACACGGUCCAGACUCCGACGGGAGGCAGCAGUGGGGAAUAUUAGGCAAUGGGCGCAAGCCUGAUCCAGCCAUACCGCGUGGGUGAAGAAGGCCUUCGGGUUGUAAAGCCCUGUUGUUGGGAAAGAAAAGCAGCAGGUUAAUACCCCGCUGUUCUGACGGUACCCAAAGAAUAAGCACCGGCUAACUUCGUG